GUGCUCAUGGGAUGCUCCCAUCUGCCCUGGCUUCUGCAGAGCAGCUCUAGCUUAGGGACAUUUUCUACCAGUGCCACAUACUUUCCCUUCUGUAUAAAAUGGUCAGAGGGAUCAGCCCUUAGGACUCCCUAAUGCCUCAGUGAUAGAAACCCACCCUCCAAAAUUGCGCCCUCACCACUUUGAGAAUGUUGCGUUUAGAGAACAAUUGUCUUCACGUGUUCAACAUUGUCCUGUUAUUUAUGAGGUUUUCAACCACCUGGAAGCCAGGCAAAUACUGACCCAAGCUCGGAACUGUGCGCUGACCCAAGGACAAAAGAGUAUUCUCCAUAUGCAUUCCCUGGGCCUGUUGGUUGCCAAGAUGGGGACCCUUGAAAGUCCAGCGUGGCUUAGUCUUGAUUUCAAAGAGGCAAACGAAGAGUUCCGGCGGCCGGAAAGUCCAAGAUCACCGCGCCCGCAGCUUCGGCGUCUGGUCUCAUAUGGCUGAAAUCAAGAUGUUGGAUGGCUGUGUCAUCUUCAGGAGGUUUGACUGGGGAAAGACCCACUUCCAAGCCCAUUUAGAUUACACAUUCCAGGACAGGAAAUUCCUCCUCUCCCUGGAGAGAUCUGCUUACAUUCUAGAGGAAAGAAGAAUUGGGACAAUAACACAGAUCAGGAAAAGCGAAUAGACAAGGAGAAUCUUAAGAAAUGACUCCCUAGAUCCAGCCCACAGUCCGAGGGAGGGGAUUAUACAAGGAAGUGAAUACCAGACAGUGUGGAUUAUUUGUGGCCAUCCCAGAGGACUGGGGACAAAGGUCAGUUUUGAGCAUGCAGAUGAGGGCAAUGCACUAGGAUGGGGUGAAGAAACAGAUUGGAAGGAACUGGGUUUCUGAAUGACCACAUGGAGCCAAGUUGCCUGCCAACCUGCUCUGCUGACUCCAGACUGUAACGUGAGAAAUAAGCCACUGAAUUAUUCCUGGCUCCCUGUGACAGCAGCCUAGGUUUUACCCCUGCUAAUACAUUUACCAAGUUAAGUAACCUCAUUGAGUGUCACUUUCGUUAUCUGUAAAGGGAGAAUAAUGUUGAUACAUCCCUUGGAAGGCUGUGGUGAUAAAUAUACAAGAUAAUCCAGACAAAGUGCUUGGUCCAGUGCCCUUCUCAUGGUAAUUUUUUAAAUAAGUGGUUUCUACUAGAAUGAAGAAUGAAGAUAAUUCCAUCUUUGGUUUGGAUGAUGGAUAUAGAGCUAGGAAAGCAGAUGGAGUUGGUGAACUGACAGAAAGACCUGAACUGAUUGAAACAGACUUGCCAUGAGUGGAACCCUAGUAUUCAUAUUUUUUAAAAGUUCCCCAGAUAGCUCUGGUGAGUACCUUGGUUUGGAUACACGUACUUUAUAUUGGCUCUGUAUGUCAUAUAGUAUUCCGUUAAUUAAAUGCCUUAAUGCUUUCCUUUGAGAGAAAGAUCAAUCUAGAAUUCCUGAUAUUCCCAUAAGUGCUAGAAAAGGGAAGUAUAAUAGGCCAAAUUAGUCAUAUUCAAUGAAACACAUUUCUUGUUGAUACUGAUGUCGAAAACAAACAAACAAAAAAACUGCAUGAGAGACUUCUAUUUGGGGCGGUAUUAUCAUCUACAUUCUCCAAAGAUUCUUCUUAUUAGAUCCUGCAGAAGACUUGAGUUUUCUGGCACUUCUGGGCUCAGGAGAUAAGGGAAAUCUUCAAGCCCAUAAAUCCAACCCAAGCAAACAAAGCUGUGAGCUGAAACUUGGGAGGUGCGUUGCGAGCAGACACGUGGAGUGAGGCUGCCUUACAUGCUAAAUCAGCACCGAGACAAGGAGACCGACUCCUGAGUCUGCUUACAGUUGAGGGGAUGAACCUGAGGCUCCAGGUGAAGCUGGAGAUCCUGAAGGGAGCCAAAUCGGUCCCAGAUCAGUGGUGUCCUUGGGCUAUUGGCUGAAGCAAAUGUGAAUCAUCUCUGGAGGAGAGCAUGCCCCACAUAAGGGCCUAGGAGUUCAAGGGAUAAAGAUAAACCAAAUAUGAGCUGAUAAGUGAAGACCAACAAACACACAAGGGAACACGCCCUCACAAGUGAAGAAAGAAACCCAAAGGACAUCAGAUACUGCAGUUCUCAUUUUCCAAACAGCAUAACUCUGUAGACAGUUUUUUUUAAAAAAAAACAGACUUAUUGAGAUAUACUUCACAUACUGUACAAUUUACCCUUUUAACCCAUUUAAAGUGAGCAAGUCAAUGGUUUUUAGUAUAUUCACAGAUAUGUGCAAGCAUCACCAGAGUCAAUUUUAGAACAUUUUCAUCACCUCAAAAAAAAAAUUCCAUAUCCUUUAGCUGUCAUCACUGUCUCCUGUUUCCUGCCCCCCCCCUAGUUUAGGCAACCACUGGUCUAGUUUCCAUCUCUAGAGACCUCCCUAUUCUGGACUUUCAUAUGAAUGAAAUCAUAGAGUGUAUGGUCUUUUGUGACUGGCUUCUUUCACUCAGCAUAAUGUUUUCAAGGUUCAUCUACAUUGUAGUAUAUCAGUAUGUCUUUCCUUUUUGUCUCUGAAUAAUAUUCUGUACAUUUCGUUGUAUGACUAUACCAGAUUUUGUUUAUCCAUUUAUCCAUUGAUAGACAUUUGAGUUGUUCCCACAUUUUGGUUAUUACAAAUAAUGCUGCUAUAAACAAUCAUGUACAAAUGUCUGUGUUUUCACUUUUGUUGGGUAUUUACUGAAGAAUGAAAUUGCUGGGUUAUAUGGUAACCAUGUGUUUAAUCAUUUGAGGAACUGCCGGGCUGUUUUCCAAAGUGGCUGCGCUAUUCUACAGCCUCAACAGCAGGAGGGCUCUGAUUCCUCCACGUCCUGGCCUUGUUAUCUGACAUUUUGAUUCCAGCCAUCCUGGUGGGUAUGCAGUGGUAACUCAUUGUGGUUUUGAUUUGCAUCUCCCUCAAGAUGGCAAGCAUCUCUUCGUGGGUUUGGAUGCCAUCUGCAUAUCUUCUUUGGAGGAGAAACUGACGUAAACAUGGAGUGAGCUGGUGCAUACUUAGAUCAGGAACUUCUCGGAGGAUCUUUCGUAAGACUGGGAGGAUGGGUGUUCCACUCCCUCCAAUUAUUUGAAGUUUUAGUCCUUCUGAGGCAUUUCAAUUAGUUAAAUCUGAUCUGUAAUUACCUCAGUUCUUCUUUGAGAAAAGGAGAACACUGAGGAGGCUGCCAAAUUGACUGUACAUCUGGGAGCUCUCCAUUGAGAAGUCCAGAGAGGCUCUGCUGUGGUCAACCUCACGCUUACCUUGAAAGGAUUUGCAGUUCCGAGCUCUUGGAAGGGUCCAGGUUCCUAUCUGCAUUAAGCUACAGAGAAGGGGAGAAACAUUUUC
ensembl:lncRNA